rnacentral:rRNA from 1 species
CCUACGGGGGGCAGCAGUGAGGAAUAUUGGACAAUGGACGAGAGUCUGAACCAGCCAAGUAGCGUGAAGGAUGACUGCCCUCUGGGUUGUAAACUUCUUUUAUAUGGAAAUAAAAUGUUCCACGUGUGGGAUUUUGUAUGUCCCAUAUGAAUACGGAUGGGUUAACUACGUGCCAGCAGCCGCGGUAAUACGGAGGAUCCGAGCGUUAUCCGGAUUUAUUGGGUUUAAAGGGAGCGUAGGUGGAUUGAUAAGUCAGUUGUGAAAGUUUGCGGCUCAACCGUAAAAUUGCAGUUGAAACUGGCAGUCUUGAGUACAGUAGAGGUGGGCGGAAUUCGUGGUGUAGCGGUGAAAUGCUUAGAUAUCACGAAGAACUCCGAUUGCGAAGGCAGUUCACUGGACUGCAACUGACACUGAGGCUCGAAAGUGUGGGUAUCAAACAGGAUUAGAUACCCGGGUAGUC